rnacentral:tRNA from 1 species
GCGUUUGUAGACCAACGGUUAGGAUAAUUGCCUUCCAAGCAACAGACUUGGUUCGACUCCCGGCAAACGCA